CAAAUCCAUCACGUCUCUUUAUCGAGAUCACGUUGAAAUGUUCCCCAGACUGUGUGCUGUAGCAAUACACGCACUGUCUGGGCUGAUAAACUAGUGUUUCCUUGUUGCUCAAUUGUAUCUUGGUGUUCAUCUACCCGAUGACGCUUAACAACAAAAGUA
rnacentral:misc_RNA from 1 species